AUAUCAAUAAGCGGAGGAAAAGAGACUAACAAGGAUUCCCCUAGUAACGGCGAGUGAAGAGGGAAAAGCUCAAAUUUUGAAUCUGACGUCUUCGGCGUCCGAGUUGUAAUCUAGAGAAGUGUUUUCCGCGCCGGACCGUGCACAAGUUCCCUGGAACGGGGCGUCAAAGAGGGUGAGAAUCCCGUCUGUGGCACGGACCCCAGGGCUUCUGUGAUGCGCUCUCAAAGAGUCGAGUUGUUUGGGAAUGCAGCUCAAAAUGGGUGGUGAACUCCAUCUAAAGCUAAAUAUUGGCGAGAGACCGAUAGCGCACAAGUA
rnacentral:rRNA from 1 species